GCUGGUUUCAUAUGGUGACUUAGA
rnacentral:miRNA from 1 species